GAAUCAGCUUGUGUGUUAGUGGAACGGUCUGGAAAGUCCGACGGUACAGGGUGAUAGUCCCGUACACCAAAAUGCACAGGCUGUGAACUCGAAGAGUAGGGCGGGACACGUGGUAUCCUGUCUGAAUAUGGGGGGACCAUCCUCCAAGGCUAAAUACUCCUGACUGACCGAUAGUGAACCAGUACCGUGAGGGAAAGGCGAAAAGAACCCCGGCGAGGGGAGUGAAAAAGAACCUGAAACCGUGUACGUACAAGCAGUGGGAGCACCUUCGGGUGUGACUGCGUACCUUUUGUAUAAUGGGUCAGCGACUUAUAUUCUGUAGCAAGGUUAACCGUAUAGGGGAGCCGCAGGGAAACCGAGUCUUAACUGGGCGUUAAGUUGCAGGGUAUAGACCCGAAACCCGGUGAUCUAGCCAUGGGCAGGUUGAAGGUUGGGUAACACUAACUGGAGGACCGAACCGACUAAUGUUGAAAAAUUAGCGGAUGACUUGUGGCUGGGGGUGAAAGGCCAAUCAAACCGGGAGAUAGCUGGUUCUCCCCGAAAGCUAUUUAGGUAGCGCCUCGUGAAUUCAUCUUCGGGGGUAGAGCACUGUUUCGGCUAGGGGGUCAUCCCGACUUACCAACCCGAUGCAAACUACGAAUACCGAAGAAUGUUAUCACGGGAGACACACGGCGGGUGCUAACGUCCGUCGUGAAGAGGGAAACAACCCAGACCGCCAGCUAAGGUCCCAAAGUCAUGGUUAAGUGGGAAACGAUGUGGGAAGGCACAGACAGCCAGGAUGUUGGCUUAGAAGCAGCCAUCAUUUAAAGAAAGCGUAAUAGCUCACUGGUCGAGUCGGCCUGCGCGGAAGAUGUAACGGGGCUAAACCAUGCACCGAAGCUGCGGCAGCGACACUAUGUGUUGUUGGGUAGGGGAGCGUUCUGUAAGCCUGCGAAGGUGACCUGUGAGGGUUGCUGGAGGUAUCAGAAGUGCGAAUGCUGACAUAAGUAACGAUAAAGCGGGUGAAAAGCCCGCUCGCCGGAAGACCAAGGGUUCCUGUCCAACGUUAAUCGGGGCAGGGUGAGUCGACCCCUAAGGCGAGGCCGAAAGGCGUAGUCGAUGGGAAACAGGUUAAUAUUCCUGUACUUGGUGUUACUGCGAAGGGGGGACGGAGAA
rnacentral:rRNA from 1 species